rnacentral:rRNA from 1 species
UGGAGGCAGCAGUGAGGAAUAUUGGACAAUGGGCGAAAGCCUGAUCCAGCAACGCCGCGUGGGUGACGAAGGCCUUCGGGUCGUAAAGCCCUGUGGGGAGGAACGAAUGAGUCCAGUUUAAUAAACUGGGAAGUUGACGGUACCUCCUUAGCAAGCACCGGCUAACCACGUGCCAGCAGCCGCGGUAAUACGUGGGGUGCGAGCGUUGUUCGGAAUUACUGGGCGUAAAGCGCGUGUAGGCGGCCUGCUAAGUCUGGUGUGAAAUCCCUGAGCUUAACUCAGGAAUUGCAUUGGAAACUGGUAGGCUUGAGUCCAGAAGAGGGUGGUGGAAUUCCUGGUGUAGAGGUGAAAUUCGUAGAUAUCAGGAGGAACACCGGUGGCGAAGGCGGCCACCUGGGCUGGUACUGACGCUGAGACGCGAAAGCGUGGGGAGCAAACAGGAUUAGAUACCCUGGUAGC